rnacentral:rRNA from 1 species
ACUCCUACGGGAGGCAGCAGUGGGGAAUCUUGCGCAAUGGGCGAAAGCCUGACGCAGCAACGCCGCGUGAGCGAAGAAGGCCUUCGGGUUGUAAAGCUCUGUCAGGAGGGACGAAGCCACUCGGGUGAAUAGCCCAGAGGGUGACGGUACCUCCAGAGGAAGCCCCGGCUAACUACGUGCCAGCAGCCGCGGUAAU